UGGGGAAUUUUGGACAAUGGGGGCAACCCUGAUCCAGCCAUGCCGCGUGCGGGAAGAAGGCCUUCGGGUUGUAAACCGCUUUUAGUCGGGAAGAAAAGGCCAAGGUGAAUACCCUUGGUUUUUGACGGUACCGGCGGAAUAAGCACCGGCUAACUACGUGCCAGCAGCCGCGGUAAUACGUAGGGUGCGAGCGUUAAUCGGAAUUACUGGGCGUAAAGCGUGCGCAGGCGGUUCGUCGUGUCUGAUGUGAAAGCCCCGGGCUCAACCUGGGAAUGGCAUUGGAAACUGGCGGACUCGAGUGUGGCAGAGGGGGGUGGAAUUCCGCGUGUAGCAGUGAAAUGCGUAGAGAUGCGGAGGAACACCGAUGGCGAAGGCAGCCCCCUGGGCUAACACUGACGCUCAGGCACGAAAGCGUGGGGAGCAAACAG
rnacentral:rRNA from 1 species